AGGUCACUGCUAUCGGGGUUCGAUUAAGCCAUGCGAGUCGAGAGGGUUCGGCCCUCGGCGUACUGCUCAGUAACACGUGGAUAACCUGCCCUAGGGGAGGGGAUAACCCCGGGAAACUGGGGAUAAUACCCUAUAGGUUACAGAUGCUGGAAUGCCCAGUAACCAAAAGCUCCGGCGCCCUAGGAUGGAUCUGCGGCCGAUUAGGUUGUUGUUGGGGUAACGGCCCAACAAGCCCGUAAUCGGUACGGGUUGUGGGAGCAAGAGCCCGGAGUUGGAUUCCGAGACACGAAUCCAGGCCCUACGGGGCGCAGCAGGCGCGAAACCUUUACGAUGCGGGCAACCGUGAUAAGGGAACCUCNAGUGCCUGUAAACGCAGGCUGUUCANGUGUUUAAAACGCACCUGGAGAAAGGGCCGGGCAAGACCGGUGCCAGCCGCCGCGGUAAUACCGGCGGCUCGAGUGGUGGCCGCUUUUAUUGGGCUUAAAGCGUUCGUAGCUGGGUUGUUAA
rnacentral:rRNA from 1 species